rnacentral:rRNA from 1 species
GAUGAACGCUGGCGGCGUGCCUAAUACAUGCAAGUCGAGCGAACAGACGAGGAGCUUGCUCCUCUGACGUUAGCGGCGGACGGGUGAGUAACACGUGGAUAACCUACCUAUAAGACUGGGAUAACUUCGGGAAACCGGAGCUAAUACCGGAUAAUAUAUUGAACCGCAUGGUUCAAUAGUGAAAGACGGUUUUGCUGUCACUUAUAGAUGUAUCCGCGCCGCAUUAGCUAGUUGGUAAGGUAACGGCUUACCAAGGCGACGAUGUGUAGCCGACCUGAGAGGGUGAUCGGACACACUGGAACUGAGACACGGUCCAGACUCCUACGGGAGGCAGCAGUAGGGAAUCUUCCGCAAUGGGCGAAAGCCUGACGGAGCAACGCCGCGUGAGUGAUGAAGGUCUUCGGAUCGUAAAACUCUGUUAUUAGGGAAGAACAAAUGUGUAAGUAACUAUGCACGUCUUGACGGUACCUAAUCAGAAAGCCACGGCUAACUACGUG